rnacentral:rRNA from 1 species
AUUCCGGUUGAUCCUGCCGGAGGCCAUUGCUCUUGGGGUCCGAUUUAGCCAUGCUAGUCGCACGGGUUCAGACCCGUGGCAAAUAGCUCAGUAGCACGUGGCCAAACUGCCCUGCGGAUCGGCACACCCUCGGGAAACUGAGGCCAAUUCUGUAUACGGCUCCCGACCUGGAAUGGUGGGAGCCCGAAACGCUCCGGCGCCGGAGGAUGAGGCUGCGGCCGAUUAGGUUGACGGUGGGGUAAUGGCCCACCGUGCCGAUAAUCGGUCUGGGUCAUGAGAGUGAGAACCCAGAGACGGAAUCUGAGACAAGAUUCCGGGCCCUACGGGGCGCAGCAGGCGCGAAACCUUUACACUGCACGCCAGUGCGAUAAGGGGACCCCAGGUGCGCAGGCAUAGUGCCUGCGCUUUUCUGGACUGUAGGGCGGUCCAGGAACAAGGGCUGGGCAAGACCGGUGCCAGCCGCCGCGGUAAUACCGGCAGCCCAAGUGAUGGCCGCUGUUAUUGCGCCUAUAGCGUCCGUAGCUGGCCGCACAAGUCGGUCGGGAAAUCCGCCCGCCCAACGGGC